GGUCGCGUGGCCGAGUGGUUAGGCGGAGGUCUGCAAAACCUCUUACGGUGGUUCAACCCCACUCGCGACCU
rnacentral:tRNA from 1 species